CAAACCCGGAUUUGUUUGCAUGAAAUAAACCGUAUUUGAUAAUGAUGGAUACGUCCGUAAUUUUUGGUUGUAAUCUGAUUAUAGAUUAUAUGAAUUAUUGUCCAAAAGAGUCUGUAAUUUGAAAUAUAAAUAAGAAAAAAAGAAGCUAAAUCGCCGUGAAGCAGCAGCUAUUUGCUGAAAAACCCUAUGUUAUUCCAGGUUCAUCCUGAAGGCCAAAACAUUUGGUAGUGGAGUAUCAUCAGGCUUGUGAAAAUGCUUAGCUGCAAGGAUAAAUUGGCACAUUUUCGGAUAAAGGAGCUCAAAGAUGUGCUUACUCAACUUGGUCUCUCAAAGCAAGGAAAGAAGCAGGAUCUUGUUGAUCGCAUAUUAGCUAUCCUUUCAAAUGAACAAGUUUCAGGAAUGUGUACAAAGAAAAAUAGUGUUGGAAAGGAAGAGGUUGCGAAACUUGUUGAUGGAAUUUACAGAAAAAUGCAAGUGAAUGGGGCAACUGACCUAGCAUCUAAGUCAGAAAUUGUCUCAGAUAGCAGUAAUGUAAAGUUAAAAGAGGAAAUUGAAGAUACUUACCAGAUGGAGAUUCGAUGUCCCUGUGAAAGCUCGCUGCAAGCUGAAACGAUGAUUCAGUGUGAAAAUAUAAGAUGCCGCACAUGGCAACAUGCGAGCUGUGUCAUCAUUCCGGAAAAGCCCAUGGAGGGGGGUUCUCCUCCAGUUUUACCUGAAACUUUUUACUGUCAAUUGUGCAGAUUGAGCCGUGCAGAUCCGUUCUGGGUGACAGUGUCAAUCCCUUUAUAUCCUGCUAAGUGGGUUAUCACUAGUUUACCUGUAGAUAGCACAAACCAAAUGCAAACGAUUGAGAAAUUAUUUCACCUCAGUAGAGCCGACAUGGAGUUAUUGGCAAAGCAGGACUACGAUGUUCAGGCUUGGUGCAUGCUUCUCAAUGACAAGGUAGAAUUUAGGAUGCAGUGGCCUCAGUAUGCUGAUUUGCAGGUCAAUGGAGUUCCAGUACGUUGCAUAAAUAGACCUGGCUCACAAUUAUUAGGUGCAAAUGGUCGAGAUGAUGGUCCAAUGAUCACAGUAUUCUCCAGAGGUGGAAUCAACAAAAUUUUGUUAACAGGAUGUGAUGCUCGUAUCUUUUGCUUUGGAGUUAGACUUGUAAGGCGUCGUACUCUCGUACAGAUUCUCAAUACUAUCCCUAAAGAGCCAGAUGGUGAGGCAUUUGAUGAUGCUCUUGCGCGCGUUCGUCGUUGCAUUGGUGGGGGGACUUCCACUGAAAAUGCUGACAGCGACAGUGACCUCGAAGUGGUUGCGGAUUCUAUACCAGUGAAUCUUCGAUGCCCUAUGAGUGGUUCAAGAAUGAAGGUUGCCGGAAGAUUCAAACCCUGUGUACAUAUGGGCUGCUUUGAUCUUGAAGUCUUUGUUGAAAUGAAUCAAAGGUCGAGGAAGUGGCAAUGCCCAAUCUGUCUCAAGAACUACUCUCUGGAGCAUAUCGUUAUAGAUCCGUAUUUCAAUCGGAUCACUUCUCAGCUUCAAACUUGUGGAGAAGAAGUGUCGGAAAUUGAAGUGAAACCUGAUGGUUCUUGGCGUGCAAAGGCAGAAGGGGAUCAAAGGAGUAUUGGGGAUCUUGGACAGUGGCACUUACCUGAUGGGACUCUCAUUGAAUCUCAGGAUAUAGAGUCAAAACCCAGGCCUGGAAUUCUUAAGCAUGUUCUACAGGAAGGAAGCUCUGAAAGCUGUGGACUUAAAGUUGGGUUGAAGAAGAACAGAAAUGGUUUGUGGGAAAUUAACAAACCUGAAGGUAUGCAGACAUUUCCAUAUGGUGAUGGAGUAAGAGAGAACUUAGAAAAUCAUAUUCAAGAUAUCAUUCCCAUGAGCAGCAGUGCCACUGGGAGUGGCAAGGAAGGUGAAGAUCCCAGUGUUAAUCAGGCUGGUGUCGUUAGCUUUGAUUUCCCUACCAAUGGGUUUGAACUUGAAACCAUUUCUCCAAAUUUUGUCCCAACAUAUGGUUGUAAUGACCGGAAUCCCCCAGUACCAGUUAGAGGUGCUGAAAUUAUUUUCAUAAGUGAUUCUGACGAAGAAAAUGAGCCAUUCAUCUCUUCUGCAUCCACUUAUAAUAACAACCAUACCGAUGCACCUAUAGUCUCUUUUGCGGGUAGGCCUAAAGGAAUUUCAGAUUCUUGCCAUGACAACCAGGCACUUGUUAAUGAUGGUAAUUCAUGCCUGGGGCUGUUGAAUGCAGAAUUUGGGAUGAAUAUGUGGCCUUUGCCUACUGUUAACCAGGCCCCCCCAAGCUUUCAGUUAUUUGGUUCAGAUAUGCAUCAGGGUUCUAUUAACUAUGCAAGCUCUACCAAUGGCUACUCGUUGGCUGCAGAUACUGGCAUUGGAUCUUGUACUCUUCUUCCUGAAUCUUCUGUUGAUCGUUCGAAUGCUUUAGUUAAGAAUACCGUAAUAUGUAAUGGUAUUGAGGGAUCACUUCAUAUAUUUCUUCCUCUACCAUCGGAUGCAUCAGUUGAGGCUGAUGUGGCGCAUCAGCCAGGUGUGUCAACUGGCGUUCACACUGAGGAUUGGGUUUCACUUAGGCUUGGCGCAGGUGGGGAUUCUGCAGUUGCAAAUGGGUUGAACUCAGGGAAGCCGCCGCAAACCAAAGACUCUUCCUUGGAUGCAUUGGCUGACACUGCUUCAUUGCUUGUUGGUGGGAAUGACGGAGUAUCAAUGAAGAGCGGUAGAAAAAGAUCAGAUGGUCCAUUUAAUUUUCGUCGCAAGCGUCGUUCUGUUAGACGGAUAUCCAAAUAGUGAUUCAGACACUGAAUAGGGAGCCAAUUCCUCAUAGGAGGAAUGAUGGUUACUUCUACUGCAAAACUGAGUAUUCAACCACAUGAUAUCUUGUUUGUAAGAUCAUCUCUGAAUCGAUCUUUUUGGCUUGGAGAUGAACAUGCAUCUACCAACAGAGAAACUGACUUCAACUCCUGUGCUGGAAAUUUAGGAGUUCUGAUAGGUGAACUCUCAAACCUCCAGUUUUUGUAUUCUAUUGUCUGGACUCGGAAUCCCCCACUCCCAUACCCUCCUUUGCAUUAUGAAGAGGGCCUGGCCGUAUACUUCUCUUUCA